CCAGCACCCGCACCCCUUCCACGCCCAAGAAGUUGCAACGGGCCCAGUCUGAGCUGGAGUGACUUGUUUCCGCGUCGCAGAGGGAGGUUAAGAGCGUUCCAGAGUGCUGAAAUUACCAGUGUGCUCCACUGUGCCCACCUACAACAGCCUUAUGACACACUGUGCCUCGACCUCUGCCUUCUGCUGAAGAUACAAGGGUGAACAAAAUGCACGUGAUUCCUGUCCCUAGGCUGGUGACAGUCUACUGAAGAAGAGAAAGAAACACACAAAUGUGUAUUUAAUGAACGUUAUAAUGUGGGCUCUGAAGGAAUCAUUCCUUGGGCUUUCAGAGAGAAUGACUGAAAGAUUUAAUUUAAGACAGAGUUCAUUCCCCAAGUCUGAUAGGCUUGUGUGUGUGUAUGUGUGUGUGUGUGUGUGUGUGUGUGUGUGUGUGUACAUGUGUGAAUGUGUACAUCUUUACCCCAAACCCUGUCCUGUCUGACUUCAGUCAACAGAGCGCUCAGCACUGGGGUCACCAGUCACUGCCACGGGUAGUGAGCCAGGAUCCCUCCCGGAGGGCCAAGGUCAGCCUCAGAGAGCUCCCAGGGGACCAGGCCUUCUGCAACUCAGCACAGAGGGACAUAGUCUUCAUUUUGACAUCCAGAAUAGUCUUCAUUCUGACAUCCCUGUUUCCUCUUUCUAGGUCCUCAGAGUUGGAAAGGGCAGUUUAUCCCUCACAAGCAGCAUAGAGAAGCCAGGCCAAGGCCAGCACUGGGAUAUGAGAUUCCUUCAGUUCUGAGAUCUCUUUACCUAGCAUGAUAUUUGGCACAAUAAAUAGUCAUUGAUUAAA